rnacentral:tRNA from 1 species
UGCUUAUUUGAAAGUUAGAAGCUUUCUACAGAAAUUUCUUU